rnacentral:sRNA from 1 species
AAAUUCCAAAAACCAC